GAAGAAGAAAAAUCAUGUUUCCAGCUUGGGCUGCUGUUUCAUCUGUUGGACUUGCUUAAAACGUAUGGGUUUGUUUACCCUUCCUGCAGGCAUCCAACCUGGCCUUUUAUUCCUGCUCAAGUAGGACAUGCAGCCUGCUGGGGACCCGUGGCUCAAAUCCUCCAACUGCAGGACUGCUGGCCCUGGGACUCAUGAAUAAUGGAAGUGCAGUAACCACUCCUUACAGCCCAGACGACUUUCCAGGAGCAGGCUGUACCCCGAAAGUAAACAAGGAACAAGGGGCAAGGAGACAGAGAGAGAUGGGGAAAUAUCCUCACCAACAGCCCUGCUGCAGUGAAAACUGGAGUGACAAUGUUUUACCAGUACUCAAAAUGUCUCAAGUAUCAUCCCUGCUUACAUGGGAGUUUGAGUGAGGAAGAGACUGUUGGACUGUUUGCUCUGGUUGAAUGAGACUUAGCAGGUUGGUAUAACACAUUUUGUCCUAUCAAAAAUAGCUGAGAUUACAUAAGCAUAACCUCUCCCCAGAGCAAAUAUGCAUUUGAGAGGCAGUGAAACAUACAUAAUUAUAGAUGUAAAACUCUAAAAAUAGGCUCUGUGCCACACACAGGCAGCUGAGAGCGUGGGACUCGAGUGCAAUGCUGCCACGUAUGGCAAUAUUAAUAGGAGUUGUGGCACCAUCCCAGGUGGCCCAGUGAGGCGAUGCAGAGCUAUUACAGACAGGAAAAGACAGAGAGAUUUAAAAUGUUUGUGUGCAAAGAAGGUUGCUGCUUAUUUGAGCCUGUCAAAGCCUGUUCCAACUGACUGUGGUCUUCUCCCAAGGGACAGGAAAUAAGAAGUCAUCAAACAACCACGAUUAUUACAUUGUUACCUCUUAUUGUAUUCUUAUUAUAACUAGUCAGUAUGAAUAAUAAUAGCAGCUUGUGCUUAAAAGCAUGUGCUGUAUUUUUCGAGGGAUUUUCACUUCUACAGUUAUUCAAUUCAACCAGUCUAUAUUGAGGGCUAUUUCAAGUGGGCUUUGCUAUAUAACACAACCUCCCCACAAAACUUGACGACUUAAAUCAACCAGAAUUGAUUUACAUUUUGUUAAGUUGGUUGUGUGAUUUUCUGCUUGUCUCAGCUGGAAGGUCCCAAGAUGGCCUCAGGCGCAUGUCUAGCAGCUGUGCUGGGACACUUGACUGGAAACCCUGAUGCUCCUCCCUGGGGACUCUCGUCUUCCAGAAGGCUAGACCAAUUUCCUGAUCUGAGGUUUCUGGGCAGUGCUUCAGGACGGCCCCAGUGAAAGUUGCACUGUCUCUUAAGGUCUACUUGCAUGAUGUCACCUCCACUGCAUUCUUCUGGUUAACACCACUCGCAAGGUCAACCCAUAUUCAGUGAUGGGAAAAUAAACCCCACCUCUUGAUAGGAGGAGCUGCAAAAUUUUGUAGAAGUAUUCAAUUUAAGACAACAGGGCUAAGCUAGAUAUUGACUUACGUCAUCUCAUUUAAUUCUCACAGGAUCCCUGAAUGGAAAGGAAUGCUAUGCACACUUUUUGGAUACAGAAAGUGAGAUUCAGAGGGGUUAAACAGCUUUCCUGAAGCCACACAGCGAGACAGUCGAUCUGAACUGAAGAUUGUUUGACAUCAAAGCUCAUUUCUUUCCCUAAAUGUCAGCAUUCUUUCCUGACUUAUUAAUUUGAUUUCUGUCCUCCCCUCAUGGAAGUUAAUUAAAGGAAUGCGAGAACCUUUUAGAAAAUCUCCAGGGCAGCUUCUGUGUUGAUCAUUGUUUCACAAUCUCUUUUCCACCCAAUCCCCACCAGCCCUUUAGAUCUGUUUCUAUUAGGCCACAUCCCAGAGCUGCACAGAUCAGGGGAGAGAGAGCUUGCCACUAAGGCAAGUCCUCU
ensembl:lincRNA